rnacentral:rRNA from 1 species
UACGUAGGGGGCAAGCGUUGUCCGGAUUUAUUGGGCGUAAAGAGCGUGUAGGCGGCUUUACAGGUCCGUUGUGAAAACUCGAGGCUCAACCUCGAGACGCCGGUGGAAACCGUAAGGCUAGAGUCCGGAAGAGGAGAGUGGAAUUCCUGGUGUGGCGGUGAAAUGCGCAGAUAUCAGGAGGAACACCCGUGGCGAAAGCGGCUCUCUGGGACGGUACUGACGCUGAGACGCGAAAGCGUGGGGAGCAAACAGG